GGUCCUGCUCUCCUCGGUGCGCCCGCCCUGCCGUUAACGUCCAAAGAGGAGCAGCCAGUCGGUUCGCGUGUGCUACUGCGGUACUGCAACCCCGUCUGCUAUGUGACUCCAUCGGGGGAACUUGGUUUGAAUUAGCGGUCCGGUUAUACCAAGGAUAGGGUUCUGGUGCACCGUAGGUCAUUGGAAGUAAAACGAGAGGUGCAGAUAGGCUGUGAGGGUCUUUACAGUGGAGCGUGGCAGCAGGGGGGGGUCUCUCUUUCCUAUCAGAUCUGCCAACAACGUAGAAUAUGGCGGAACAUCACUCCGUUACCGAUAGCAAGCAUAAAGCCUCUGCUGCGAAUAUUGGAGCUUCGUUCUCUGGGAAUGGACGGACCAGUCCAGCGGGGAACGUCGGUAGCAGUCCUACCGGGACUCUCUCCACCGGGAUAGCUCAGCCGGCAGGGUGGCAGUCCUUACUGUCGUUCACCAUCCUGUUUCUGGCCUGGCUGGCUGGUUUCAGUGCCAGGCUCUUCGCUGUCAUCCGGUUUGAGAGUAUAAUCCACGAGUUUGACCCUUGGUUCAACUACAGAUCUACUCACCAUCUGACCAUCAACGGCUUCUAUGACUUCCUCAACUGGUUCGAUGACAGGGCCUGGUACCCACUGGGCAGGAUAGUGGGGGGCACGGUUUACCCAGGUCUGAUGGUAACAGCUGGUCUCAUCCACUAUGUUCUAAACCUGCUCCACAUCACGGUGCACAUCCGAGACGUGUGUGUGUUCCUGGCGCCCGUCUUCAGCGGCCUCACGUCCAUCGCCACCUUCCUGCUGACCCGCGAGCUCUGGAACCAGGGGGCGGGGCUUCUGGCGGCGUGCUUCAUCGCUAUUGUCCCUGGUUACAUCUCCCGCUCUGUGGCGGGCUCCUUCGACAAUGAGGGCAUCGCCAUCUUUGCCCUCCAGUUUACCUACUAUCUAUGGGUGAAAUCAGUGAAGACUGGAUCAGUGUUCUGGGCCAUAGGCUGCUGCCUCUCAUACUUCUACAUGGUGUCUGCAUGGGGAGGCUACGUCUUCAUCAUCAACCUGAUUCCUCUCCAUGUGUUUGUCCUGCUGCUGAUGCAGCGCUACAGCAGACGAGUUUACAUCGCUUACAGUACGUUCUACAUCGUUGGUCUGGUGCUCUCCAUGCAGAUCCCCUUUGUGGGCUUCCAGCCAAUCAGGACCAGCGAACACAUGGCUGCAGCAGGUGUGUUUGCGUUGCUCCAGGCCUAUGCCUUCCUCCAGUACCUGAAAGACAGACUGACCAGACAGGAGUUCCAGACCCUGUUCUUCCUGGGGGUCUCUCUGGCUGCUGGGGCAGUCUUCCUCACUGUUAUAUACCUGACUUAUACAGGACACAUCGCUCCUUGGAGUGGUCGAUUCUAUUCACUGUGGGAUACAGGGUAUGCUAAGAUCCACAUCCCCAUCAUAGCUUCUGUGUCGGAGCACCAGCCCACCACCUGGGUCUCGUUCUUCUUCGACCUCCACAUCCUGGUCUGUACCUUUCCUGCUGGACUCUGGUUCUGCAUCAAGAACAUCAACGAUGAGAGAGUCUUCGUGGCCCUGUAUGCCAUCAGUGCUGUCUACUUUGCUGGAGUGAUGGUCCGUCUGAUGCUGACCCUGACCCCCGUAGUGUGUAUGCUGUCAGCUAUAGCCUUCUCCAGCGUGUUUGAACACUACCUAGGGGACGACAUGAAGAGGGAGAGCCCUCCCAUAGAGGACAGUAGUGAUGAGGACGACAAGAGGAACUCUGGAAACCUCUAUGAUAAGGCAGGGAAGGUUCGUAAGCACGUCUCAGAGCAGGAGAAGACAGAGGAAGGUCUGGGACCCAACAUUAAGAGUAUCGUCACCAUGUUGAUGCUGAUGCUGCUCAUGAUGUUCGCUGUCCACUGCACCUGGGUUACUAGUAACGCCUACUCCAGCCCUAGUGUUGUACUGGCCUCUUAUAACAACGAUGGGUCGAGGAAUAUUCUAGAUGAUUUCCGCGAGGCCUACUAUUGGCUAAGGCAGAACACAGAGGAGCAGGCCAGAGUGAUGUCGUGGUGGGACUAUGGUUACCAGAUAGCAGGGAUGGCCAACCGGACCACGCUGGUGGACAACAACACCUGGAACAACAGUCAUAUAGCACUGGUGGGCAAGGCCAUGUCGUCCAAUGAGAGUGCAGCGUAUGAGAUCAUGAGGGCUUUGGAUGUGGACUACGUGCUUAUUAUUUUCGGAGGCGUGAUUGGCUACUCUGGUGACGACAUCAACAAGUUCCUGUGGAUGGUGCGGAUCGCAGAGGGAGAGCAUCCCAAAGAGAUCAGGGAGAGUGACUACUUCACCCCCCAGGGAGAGUUUAGGGUGGACAAAGCGGGGUCUCCCAUCCUGCUCAACUGUCUGAUGUAUAAGAUGUCAUACUACCGCUUCGGAGAGAUGCAGUUGGACUUCCGGACGCCGCCGGGUUUCGACCGGACGCGUAACGCUGAGAUCGGUAACAAGGACAUUGAGCUGAAACACCUGGAAGAGGCGUUCACCUCAGAACACUGGCUGGUCCGGAUCUACAAGGUCAAGAAGGAGGAGAACAGGGACCCCCUGGAGCACAGCCCCCGCAGCAGCAGCAGCAGACAGAAGUACACUUCUAAAAAGACGGCGAAGAGGAAGCGUGGUCAUGUGAAGAACAAACUUGCCCUCAAGAAAGGCAAGAAACUGAACAACAAAAAAUCAGUUUAACCAUAAAAAAACGACCUCAAAGGCGCCACGAGAGAGAGAGAGAGAGAGAGAGAGAGAGAGAGAGAGAGGUGUACAAAUCAUUCAAAACGCAAACAAGCAAGUAAUCCACCAAUCAAGCAGAAGAAUAACGAACACCAACCAACCAACCAACGGUCUGGAGAGACCUGUUACCUGGACGACCAGGUCUAUGAUGAUCAUCGUGGUUACUGGAGGUUCUAUGAUAACCCUUCUGUUGACCUCUGUUGGGGGUGUCGUCUACUUCCGAUGACCUCCCUCUGUCGGUUCGCUUUUAACCUGAAGAACUGAACUUUGACCUAUUGACCUUUCGACGACCUUAGAAUUGUUUUUUUUUUUUUUUUUUGUACUUGAAUAUUGUUGUGAGGAGAGGAGGAGAGGAGAGGAGGGGAGAGGGGAGGAGAGAGGAGAGGAGAGGAGGGGAGGAGAGAGGGGAGGAGAGGAGGAGAGGAGAGGAGAGGAGAGGAGAGGAGAGGAGAGGAGAGGAGAGGAGAGGAGAGGAGAGGAGAGGAGACAUUGUAAAGUUACACCACUCCAGGGCAUGACAGGCAGAGGAUACAUUCCAAAUGGAGAAAAAAAAGUCUGUGUGAUUCAAAUGGCACCCUAUUGCCUAUAUAGGGCACUACUUUUGAACAGGACCCAUAGGGAAUAGGGUGCCAUUUUAGUCACACAGAUUUUUUUUUAUGGGGGAAAAACUAACUAACAAAACAACUACACUAAUAUCAAAAUCAUUCAAAUCUAAACUGACUUGGAAUCAGUCAGUGGCACCAAAGACAUUCUGUACUAUUUCAGGGUGUGAACUAAACUAGUUACCUUUAUAAAAACACAUGAAAGAGGAGUUUUGAGAGGAGUUUUGAUGUAAUGUGGAGUCAGACGGUUUAGUUCCUGGUGCAUGAUCAGUUAUUGUUUGGUAGCUACCACCCAUCUGUCUCAAUUGAUUUGGUCUCAUGUUCGACCUGGUGUCGAUCUAUCACACUAUGGCCAUGUCAAAUAAACACUUCGUUUUUUUAAUCCCACUAAAUUUCCUGUAACAAUCAAUCAAAUGUAUUCAUAAAGCCCUUCUUACAUCA